rfam:Peniophora sp. CONT PENSPscaffold_154_Cont233, whole genome shotgun sequence.
GGUAGCGUGGCCGAGUGGUUCAAGGCGUUGGAUUUAAGUUUCCUUGAAUCCCAAUAUUCGAAAGAAUGCGCGAGUUCGAACCUCGCCGCUACCA